ACACACGUUUCUGCGGUACAGCAAGACCUCAGAAGAGCAGUAGCAGUUAUCAAGAACUGUCAGAACUGAUUCCUAGCGUCAACAUGUGGGGACAUCUACAAGUGAUGGUGUUACUGUCCGUGGUUGUUAUCGAUACUGCCAAGGGCACAUCACCAACAUGCAAAACUACCCUUUCAUGUUUGAAGAAAGGGGGACAUUGUCAACAACCCAGCUGUAAAUAUUGGCCAGCGAUUAACGCUUCUUGUGACAACGGUUGCCAGUGUUGUCGUGACUACCCUUGCAAGAUCUCGUUGUGUACCGCCGCCAAGGGUCGUUGUGUUCCAAACAAAAAGUUCUGUGUUAAUGGCACACUGAACAAGACACUCUGUCCAGGCCCCGACUGUGGUUCCUGUUGCAUCCCAUAACUAACGACAACGAAGACAAAAACAACAACGUCAACGAAGACAAAAACAAUAACACCGCCAACUACAACAAUAACGUCAACAUCAACCUAAACAAACUCAGCAAAAACAAGAGAAUCAACAUCAACAUCAACAAUAUUAACAUGAACAUCAACAGGCGCAGCCACUCAAUAACAAAGAGGAAGAAAAUAAGAAAUAAUAUAAGAGCUUCAUAUCCCCGCUUCUUACAGUAAUGUCAUGGACAGCUAAACUUUGAUCACCACAGAGAGAAGCAGAACCAUUAAACAAGAAAAGUGUUACCAUACCAAUAUUAACACUGUUAAACGGAAGAGUUAAAAAAAACUAAGGUCGCCAACAAAAACAGCAGCAGCAACUCAGUAACGCUAAACAUCACUACUGUCAUUAACAGUUACGAUGAUUACGAAAAGAAAAAGAAAAUCACCAGCGUCAACAGCCUCAUAAAGUCUAUCUACCUCUGUUGUUAGGUAAGACACAUAUGCAACAGUUAGGUAUCUUUAUUAUGAAACGUUUCGCCUACACAGUAGGCUUCUUCAGUCGAGUACAGAAAAGUUGAUAGAAGCAGAAGAUACUUGAAGACGAUGUAAUCAGUCCAUCACCCUUAAAGUUUUGAGGUGGUCAGUCCCUCAGUCUGGAGAAGAGCAUUGUUCCAUAGUAUGAAACAAU